rnacentral:rRNA from 1 species
GACGAACGCUGGCGGCGUGCUUAACACAUGCAAGUCGAACGGAAAGGCCCCUUUGGGGGUACUCGAGUGGCGAACGGGUGAGUAACACGUGAGUAACCUGCCCUUGACUUCGGGAUAACUUCAGGAAACUGGGGCUAAUACCGGAUAGGAAUCCUUGCUGCAUGGUGGGGGUUGGAAAGCUUCGGCGGUUUUGGAUGGACUCGCGGCUUAUCAGCUUGUUGGUGGGGUAGUGGCUUACCAAGGCUUUGACGGGUAGCCGGCCUGAGAGGGCGACCGGCCACAUUGGGACUGAGAUACGGCCCAGACUCCUACGGGAGGAAGCAGUGGGGAAGAUUGAACAAUGGGCGGAAGCCUGAUGCAGAAACGCCGCGUGCGGGAUGACGGCCUUCGGGUUGUAAACCGCUUUCAGCAGGGGCGAAGCUUGUGGUGACGGUACCUGCAGAAGAAGCACCGGCUAACUACGUG